GUUUCUAAAGAUUAGUCAUAGGAUUUGGAGAGAGAGAGAAUCGCAGAGAAAUGUGUCAUAUAUUCUAUUUCAACAAUUAUAUGGGCGUUUGCAUUCAAUUUUGUAAAUUUACAUCAAAAGUUGUAAGAUAAUAUGAUUAAUUGAUUUCGAUGCUUUCUGCUAGUUCUUUUACGGUGUGUCCCAUCACUGAGUUCUUUUCUGUUGCAGAAGAAGGCAGUCCUUCCUCCCUCCGCAUGACACAAGUCAGGGAAUUUAAACAGGAAGAGAAACAACUUCUUGUGUGUCUCCUUCUCACCCUUUUUCAUGUUGGCUAAGGAGUGCUGGGAAAACGUGCCCUCUUCCCCUUCCCAGCUGUCUUGCAGAUGUCUGCUUCACUGCACAUCAUGCAGUAUUUCAUCUCAGAGCUCCUUCCAGGCAUAUUGUGAUAACGGGUGAAAUCUGAGCCAGUUCACAAAGUGUAAGGACAUUCUACAAAUACUAAAAAUGCCCAUACACAAGAACAACAGGAAAGAGAAGCACCCAAAUGGAACACAGAAAAUGAUCCAGAAAAGUUUCUGGAGGCAGAAAUGGACACCAGGUGCCAAUUUUGCUUGCCUCUUCAUACUGAGAAAACGGAAAUGAUUCUAUUUGGUGGACACAGAGAUGUGUAAUCCACAUCCCCCUUCAAGCAAAGAGCCACUAACCCCAGCUGCUGGGAGAGCUGUCAGCAGAUAUCCUCCUGCAUUCAGCUCCUUCAGGAUCCGCCCCGCCUCACAAGAGUUCACCCUUCCAGAAGAAGCCCAAAUCCAAAGUCUGGUGUGGAAGCAAGUGGCCGUGGCAUAAAGGCACUGAGGGAUAAAUCCAGAGCUGUCUUUGGGGUUGAUGAAGACUUUGCCAGGUGGGACGCCUACCACAGCAUGGCUUUUGUCAAGCGGUGCCAUGUCUGCACCCAGGAUCCAAACCUGUGAAACCCGGGCCACCAAGAAGAGCAACGUGAGCACUUAACCACUGCGCCACCAGGCCAGCCCUUCUUCUCUGCAUUCUAAAAGCACGGUUCAUGUUAAGAAAUUAUAUUUUCAUUUCACCUCAGAUCAGAAGACCAGACAUGGAUCACUGGCCAUUCAUACCUCACCUGAUCCUAUUUAUAAGCCACUCUCACACUCACUGAGGACGGCAACAACCUCUAAACAAGCCGGAGGAAGGUCUCAACUCAAAGAAGAAAGAAAAAAUGCUUGUUCUGGAGAGAAAAUGGCUUAGGGAGAGCAUGGUGUGCUGUACUCACACUGGAGCAGCAGGCAAAGAACAUGCUGUACCUGCGAACAGACCGGCCAUUAGCAAGUGGAAGCACAGGGUUCUGCUUUGGGGUCCCAGUGGUCCCUACUACUAGCAAAAUGGCUCAAGAGUGUCAAGAUCAGCUACUUUUCCUAAGACACGUAGGCGUGGAGAAAUAACACUGAGGUGUACCUUUCUUUGAAAAUAUGAGAAAAAGGUGGAGAAUUCUCUGUACUGUGUAGUACUAAAAAUCAAAAUGAAUUUUGUCUACUAAUUUUGCCUAAUUUACU
rnacentral:lncRNA from 1 species